rnacentral:rRNA from 1 species
GACGAACGCUGGCGGCGUGCUUAACACAUGCAAGUCGAACGGAAAGGCCCUGCUUUUGUGGGGUGCUCGAGUGGCGAACGGGUGAGUAACACGUGAGUAACCUGCCCUUGACUUUGGGAUAACUUCAGGAAACUGGGGCUAAUACCGGAUAGGAGCUCCUGCCGCAUGGUGGGGGUUGGAAAGUUUCGGUGGUUGGGGAUGGACUCGCGGCUUAUCAGCUUGUUGGUGGGGUAGUGGCUUACCAAGGCUUCGACGGGUAGCCGGCCUGAGAGGGUGACCGGCCACAUUGGGACUGAGAUACGGCCCAGACGCCUACGUGAAGCAGCAGUGGGGAAUAUUGCACAAUGGGCGGAAGCCUGAUGCAGCAACGCCGCGUGCGGGAUGACGGCCUUCGGGUUGUGAACCGCUUUCGCCUGUGACGAAGCGUGAGUGACGGUAAUGGGUAAAGAAGCACCGGCUAACUAUGUG